rnacentral:rRNA from 1 species
ACGAACGCUGGCGGCGCGUCUUAAGCAUGCAAGUCGAGCGAUAAUCGGGGGCAACUCCGAUGAAAGCGGCGGACUGGUGAGUAACGCGUGGAUAACCUGCCUUGAGGCUGGGGAUAGCCGUUAGAAAUAGCGGGUAAUACCGAAUACGAUCGUCCGGCCGCCUGACCACUAAAGGAACAGCUGUAGCUAUGGAAAGUCUCUGAGAGUAAAGUUAUUAGAGAUUUUUAGUAGUGACAGGUGAAAUUAAGAAGAUUUUAGUGGUCAGGCGGUUGGAUGAGGAAAGGAGCUAAGGCUCCGCCUUAAGAGGGGUCCGCGUCCCAUUAGCUAGUUGGUGGUGUAACGGAUCACCAAGGCGAAGAUGGGUAGCCGGCCUGAGAGGGUGAACGGCCACACUGGGACUGAGAUACGGCCCAGACUCCUACGGGAGGCAGCAGCUAAGAAUAUUCCGCAAUGGGCGAAAGCCUGACGGAGCGACGCCGCGUGAACGAGGAAGGCCGAAAGGUUGUAAAGUUCUUUUGCGGAUGAAGAAUAAGCGGCGGAGGGAAUGCCGUCGCGAUGACGCAAGUCCGCGAAUAAGCCCCGGCUAAUUACGUGCCAGCAGCCGCGGUAACACGUAAGGGGCGAGCGUUGUUCGGAAUUAUUGGGCGUAAAGGGCGCGUAGGCGGUUAUAUAAGUCCGGCGUGAAAUACAUGAGCUUAACUCAUGGGCUGCGCUGGNAACUGAAUAACUAGAGUCACGGAGGGGGAAUCGGAAUUCCUGGUGUAGGNGUGAAAUCUGUAGAUAUCAGGAAGAACACCGGUGGCGAAGGCGGAUUUCCAGCCGAUGACAGACGCUGAGGCGCGAAAGUGCGGGGAGCAAACAGGAUUAGAUACCCUGGUAGUCCACGCCCUAAACGAUGAACGCUAGCCGCAAGGGCUUCGACCUUUUUGGGGCGCAGCUAACGCAUUAAGUGAACCACCUGGGGAGUACGUGCGCAAGCAUGAAACUCAAAGGAAUUGACGGGGGCCCGCACAAGCAGUGGAGUAUGUGGUUUAAUUCGAAGCAACGCGAAGAACCUUACCGGGUCUUGACAUGGGGACGACAGGCGUAGAGAUACGCCCUUCUUCGGACGUCCCACACAGGUGGUGCAUGGUUGUCGUCAGCUCGUGUCGUGAGAUGUUGGGUUAAGUCCCGCAACGAGCGCAACCCUUAUUAUUAGUUGCUACGAAGAAAGAGCACUCUAAUGAGACUGCCGUUGGCAAAACGGAGGAAGGUGGGGAUGACGUCAAAUCAUCAUGCCCUUUAUGACCCGGGCUACACACGUACUACAAUGGCGUUUAACAAUGAGCUGCGAACCCGCGAGGGCAAGCGAAUCUCCAAAAAGCGCCUCAGUUCGGAUUGCAGGCUGCAACUCGCCUGUAUGAAGCUGGAAUUGCUAGUAAUCGCGCAUCAGCAUGGCGCGGUGAAUACGUUCCCGGGCCUUGUACACACCGCCCGUCACACCAUCCGAGUUGGAGGUACCCGAAGCCGGUAGUCUAACUGAAAAGAGGACGCUGUCGAAGGUACGUUUAGUGAGGAGGGUG